UUAUGAUUAGAUUUAUGAUGACGAGAAAGACGUUGGCAGAAGAUUGUCAACAAUACUUUUUGUUGUUUUGUUGAUUUAACUUGACAAACAAAGUCCAUGGCAUAUGAAUCAACGAAUAAUCAAUGAAAUAAAACCGGCAACUCACACACAUGCUUUAUUGUCACAGAAGUCAACGACAACGGAAGCCCGCAAUGAGACGACAACUUCAAAAUCUACUCAUGAACUGAGAACUAUCAACAGAUCAAGGAAUCUGGAGAUUUUUAGUUAAAGAGGACUUCUGAUCCAACCAUGUAGUAUGGCAUGUUAUUGAGAUAUGGUUUUGGUCGAUGGAUGUUCAUGAAGGACCUGUAGUACAAAGUAUAUCACUGGAUUGAGCUCUUUGUCUAAGUGUAUUACGAAAGUGCUUCCACUUCUGAAAAUGUAAAAUGGGAUUUCACUGAAAAUACCAGUGGAGUUUCAUCGGAGUUCCAUUGGAAUACCACUGUAUUACCUCUGGGAAAUUUGGUCGGGAUUUUCAUUGGACACUCAUUGUUUUCCAUUGGGAUAUCAAAGGAAUAUCCAGUGGGAUUCCGGUGAAUACUCGAGUGGAAUACAGUGGAAAUUCCAUUGGAAUACCAGUGAAAACGUCGUUGGAAUACCAUUGUUUUCCCAUUGGACAUUUAUUGUUUUCAAAUGGGAUACCAGUGGUAAUUCCAUUGGAAAUUGUAACAAUCAACCAAAGAAAACCAGUGAUAUUUCAACGGAAAUUGACAACUCCACUGAAAUGUUAGAUAUCAUUUUGCAUGCACUGCUUAUUUUUGAAUGAAUUAAUAAGAAAACUUGAAAUAAUACAAUAACCAUUUUAAUGCAAGUCAGCAAUUAAAGAAAUUACAACAGUUUAUACAUUAUCCACAUUUAAGACCUUUUAAACGAAAAGAUCAACCUCUUUGAAAUAUAAAUGUUGAUAACUUAUCAUUUUUAGCCAAAGAUGUAUUUACUUAAUUGUACAUGUAAAUCAUUUUUCCGGUUAAAUCAUUCAUAAGUCCAUGGUAACGUUUGGUCCUCUUGAAAUCUUUCACAAAUGGUUUAAAUUUUCUAUUUUUUUUUCUUGCAUUACACAAACAAAAAUGUCCAGUUUACAUGCAUAUGAAAUACUUUGUCAGUUUCCUUCAUCAUGCAUUGAUAUAAUUCAUGAAUUAAGUCCAAAGUUUCUGCAUUCCAAUCCUGUUCCAUUAAUUCUUCAUUGAUUAAUCUGAAAGAAAAAAAAUCAUACAUGCAUAGAAUUUUGAAUUAAAAUAACAUUACAAUACCAUGCUUCAGUCUGCAUGGUCUGCAAUUAUUCAAGAAUAUAUGUUACUGGCAUAUUUUUUUAGUGUUUGUUUAAUUUAGCCACAACAUUUAUACACUCAGGGCAAUUUAGACACAUGUAUGUCUAUUGUUGAAGACUAUGUGUUCUCUAUAUAUCUUUGGCUAUAGUUGUUGGGUUGCUGUCUCUUAGACUUACAACACGUACACAUCUCCUUUUAUCAAAAUAUACUUUUAUAAUUUAUGGAUCAGGUGUUUCUCUCAGGUCCAAUAAAAUAGUAUGUGUGGUUCCAUUUACAUCUAAAAAACAUUAGGGUAGGUAGGUAGGGAUUAUUUUUUAUUUAAUGGGGGUUUUUUUUACAUUGAGUCUAUGGAAGCAACAUUCUGACUUUAACAGUGCUUAAUGAAAAAUGACAAAAAAAUCUUUAGGAAAGGCUAUUGUUAAGACUAAAAAGUAGGGUAGGUAGGGUAACUGGAACCAUGCAUAUAUUUUUUAUUUGGCCUCAUAUUAUCUUUUCUUUUUGUGUUGUGUUUGUUGUUGGUUUGCCAUCUGGUUGAAGCAUACCAGACACUUCAUUUUAUUCACACAAUAGCCAUGAUUAGCCAUUGUACAUGAUGAUCAGAUCAAUGUUUUUGAGAUGUGUUUACAGCUUGUAGAUGUGAAUGAUUAAUGUGUUUUUAUUUCAAGUGUGGGAAGGAUGAACAAAUAAUUCAAUAAGUACCUUUCAGUAAUCUUAUACUCAAAUUACUUUUCUGCUGCUGGUUCGUUUGUGUUCAUCGUGUUUCAUAUCCAACUAUUGCGGUCAUCACGAGACUUUUACACUUCAAUUGUAUAUCAUUAAUGGUCGAUUGAUUAUCAAUGAAAAUGAACGGGGUACAUAGAUUAAACGGUCAUAACUUUUUUGUUACAUUGUGUAUUUACCUCCCAACCCCGCGUUUUACAAUAUAUCCAUUUUUACAAUUAAAAAUGUUUUAAGUUUCAGUUCAGAUAUAUGAUUUCUUGCUUCAAAAUAAGUUUUAAAAUUGGGGUGACAUAACCACACAGCCUCCGUUGACUUCUUCGUUAAAACUCGAUAAAAUUGCAAUGGGACCUUCUUAUAUAAUCAAUUUUCUCAACUUAUUUAAUGUUACUAAUAUCCUCCCAACCCCUAAAAAGAUCGACAACAUAUUCAAAUGCAUUUAAAUGAAAUCGAAAACCAUAUCAGUUUAGGUAUCAAACUUUUUGCUUCAAAAUUUGAUUGAAAAGUUCACAUUUUGGCAUUUGUUAGCAAUAUUUUAAAAAUGGCGGCCGCUGUUGGAAGUAAACAACGACACGACAUGUAUAUUCAUUUAGUUAUUAAUCAAAAAGAAAUAUUUCAAAUAUAUAUUGAAGUGUGUCUUAUUGUAUUUAAGAAAUUUCUUAUUUCACCUUUUCUUUCAUAUAUUUAUUAGAAAUAAUCUCUCGCACUCAAAAUAAAGAUUUAUAUGCAUUAACCAUGCAGUUUACAUUGACAGCUUGGGCCGAUGAAAAUCGAAUAAAUGUUGGAUGCAUGCGUUUUCAGUAAUUGUCUUACCUUAAAGCAGCAUAGAAUCAAACAUGUUUUCUCUUUGUUAAAGUGGAUACAUGCUGUUUUUUUUUUGAUAAAAUUUCGUAAAAAAUGGCGACCAAAUAAUUUUGAAACGUAGACGAUGUUCAACACUAAUUUUACCAAUGCAAAUAAUUCAAUUUGAUUUCACUGUUGAUAUUGCAAUUAAGUAUGACACGUUAUUGUCACUUUAAGAAUACCUAAGGACAUAGCUAGAUUAACUUGAGGAGAUAUUAAGUCAUCAACGUGAUCAAAGAAAACAAACAUGGCACCUAAUCACGAUGUAAGUUUUGACAAGACCUGUGUACAUGUAGAUUAAUAUUGUUCGAUUCUUAAUGAAAUUAUUGUAUGCUAUUAUUUCAUAUCAAUAAAAGAAAACCUCGAAUGGAUGGUAACCGAGGUGAAAUAUC